AAAAAUAUAUUUAUAGUCAUAUAAGUGCACAUGGAAGUAUAUUUAGGUUUUUAUAUCAAAUAUUUAUGCAAGUAUUACAUAAUACAUUUCAACUUGGUUUAUUCAAGUAAAAGAAACAAGCUCCCUAGAAAUUGGCGCAACCUUGUAAAUCAACUAUAUUUUAAUUUUUAAAAAAAAAAAUUCUCCUCCUAAGUACAGACACCCCUGCACAUGGUAUUUAGCAACAAGGAUGCUUGCGUAGAAAGUGAUCUUUGUCGGGAGAACAACUGUCCAGCCUGCUGAAUCCUGGUGUAGAAAGAAGUUCGUGACUCUUUCAUUAAAAAAGAAACGUUUCCAAGUGUCUCUCUCCCUGUUGUUCUCGGUGGUCCGUAUUUUCACUCAAAGUCUCAUCCACACACGUUCCAUUCUUUUUGCUUCUGUGCCUGGCCGCCUGCCUCUUUUGGCGCAAGGCCCUUCCCCACAGCGACAGGUGCUCAAGCCGGGCCAGCCUUCAAGGUGGCCCGCUGACCUCGCCUCCAAAAUCACCUGCUUCCUUUACUUUUCAAUCAACAGCUGUGCUCUCUAGGACGAGCCGCUAAAAGCUUUAACUCUAUCUCCCCAGAGAAUGAAAGGACCUCUCAUUUCCCCCAGGACUCAUGUGCCAUGGUUCUAAGAAUCCCGCUGGAGGGGGGAGCCCCCAUUGCGUUUAUCACACGUUCUUCGCUGGGGCUACUGAAGGUCUUCCUUGUGUGAUGCGGCCGGAUCACCUCGCAGGCUGGGCGCGGAGGGAAGCCGCGUGGACAGGGCUCACUGGCGAGCGUUGUAUUCACCGUGACUGGGUCCUUACUAUUUUUCGUCUUUAACAGCUUUAUGGAGGUUCAGCUGACACACAAUAAGCUGUGUGCAGCUGUAAAGUAAAAUUUACACUUAGGUGUGUUUGUGUGUUUUGACACAUUUAUGCAACCAAGAAUCCAACAGCUCAGUCGAGAUCGUGAACGCACACACACCCCCAAAGGCUUCCUUGACCCUGUCUGCACUCUGCUUAUUCAAAAAUGCUUUCUUCAAUUAGGCGUCUAGAUAAUUACAGAUUCUUUCACACAAAUGAUAUUUAACUCAGGCUUCCCCUCUGAAUGCCUUAAUUAAAUUUCAGCAAGGGCCUUACCAUCCAGAUUUGAUUAGGAAUCAUUGAUUCCCUAAAUGACUGCUUUUCAACCUUUUUGCCAAGGCAACCAAUCCUAUGAGUGACUCCUCUCAUUAUGGGGAGACUCUCAUAUAACUUUACGGUAAAAAUUCUUAGUCUUGUAUGACUGGCACAAGGGGCUCAACAGAUGUCUCCGCAGUCUUUAAAAAUCAAAAGCAACUCUUUAGAAAAUACGCAUGCAUAAGAAAUCACUAUACUCUGAUCAUGACGUUUUAGAACAAGAAGGCACUAAUAGUUUGACAAGCGUUUCAAGAAACAGAAGUUCCCAGGAAAAUCAGGCCCCUUACACAAUAGGUCAUAAAGUAAUUCACGCAACAAGUACUAACCUUAGUAUCACCUCCACCUCUCACACACACACGCCCUCUCAAGAUCACUUCCAAAGGAAGCCUGCUCAGCCACCGCAUCCUCAGUGACAACAUGAAGAUAAGAAAUCCUACCUGGAGCCUCAACACUUGAGUAUUCAAGGAACAGAACUGUUUGAAACCAAUCUUUCAUGAUCAUGUAUUUUUAAAAUGACCUUAUGAUUAGCACAGGGAACAUCAUAUAGUAAUGAUGAAAUUCAUCAGACCACCAAAGGCUUGGCCACAAGAUGCAGACAAUAUCACACAGGUUUUACUGGAAGACGGCAGUGACAUCGCAGCAAAUCUCCGGUGAUGCAUGGCUUGUGACAAUCUGUGACAAUUCCUAGUUGUCAAUGAGGGGACUGAAUAACCGUGGUGGGGGGGGGGGGCUUUUGGAGAGGCUAAGAUAUCUGCAAAUAAUUGGGAAAAUGUCUUCUUCUAGAACAGACCCAUCCCAGACACUCUGAGAACAUUAUCUGCCACUGAAGUUUAUUUCCGAGGUGAUGACUGACCUUAAAAUCUGGGGAUACUCACCCUUGGCACUGCUUCCAGAGGCCGUUCUUGUGCCAGAUUUACCUUCUGCCUCCCGGAUUGAACAGUCUGAUCCAAAUGUUGUUGGGUGAGGAAGGACAGAGUUCAUAAAUGUAGAGGAGAGAAGCCAGGUAGUGGUCACAGACACGAACUGACGAAAGGGGCAACUGCUUCUAGAACAGGCACUUUUGUUCCAUCUGCUCACUUCGCAAUUGUGCGAUGACAUCGCAGUCACCAGGGAACAGAGGGAUGGUGGCAAAGGAAAGAGGCACAGCAGUCAGAGGCAGAGAGCGCCGUGUUGCAGUGUCACGGCGCCAGUACCUACAUAGAAACUGGGACGGCUUCUUUCAUCUCGCUGCCCCUCGGGUGCAAAGUGGAGGCAAUACCGCGGGAUCGUCACCGGAUCAUCUGAGGAUGGAAUGAGUUAAUAUAAACAAAGUCCAAAGAACAGUGAGUGCCGGGCAUGUGAUAAGCCCAAGUCAUCGCCGUGACCACCCCAAUAUUUAUUUGAUGCUAAUUUGCAUUUCACACCCAAAUAAUAGGGGAGAACUGGGUGAACAUAAAAUACUUUGGAUCCUCGGUUGUAAGGGAUAGAAACCCAGAUCAGAUUGGGUUUUUCAAGGAGAUGGACGCUAAGAGAACCUGAGGAAGGUGUGUGUCGCAUGGGACAGUGGGGCAGGGCGGUGUAAGACGGCGCUUCGGCCAACAGCAGAACCAGAGGGAACUCUACCACCACCAGCCUGCCCUCCCCCACGCUCUUCUCCACGACGGCCUCCCUGUGUUGUCUUUUUCUCUGCAGACUGGCUCCCCGCUCUCUGAAAUCAUGCCAGGAAACACCGGGCUGACACACUGUAAGCCCUACACCCCACAUUUUAGGAACAUUUUGCUCCAACCCUGCAUCGGCUUUCCUCAGUUCCACUUUUAAGAACCUGCCAAGGGAUGGCCUCCUAUGACCCGUUCUCCAGGCAGCCCCAAGGGUCCAGAUGGAGGAGCUGCCAGGAGUGAGGCCGCGGGGCACUGCUAAUCGUUCUGGAACAUCUUCUGAAAGGAAUUUUCAUGAACAGAAGAUGACAUAAGGGCAAAAAUAGAGUUCCUCCUCUGAAUCAGUGCCCACUGUCUUCUCUGCCAGGUUUCCUCAAUUGGCUUUUCUUCCCAAGCUCAGUAAGACUCCAAGAGCAAAUCUCCCGACUUCCUGAUCCUUUGCCACACUUGGAACAGGACUGCGUCUGUACGAUGCUCAUUUCUGAAUGGGUCUUGCUUGUGGUACGCUAUUUGUCUGGGCUAAGUUUCGAGUCUAGAUGCCUAAGUGAGCUGGAGGACUCUCAUUCUUGGUCCUAACCACAGGUUUCUGUUUUUAGGCUGCAGCUUGGAAAAUCAUGCCAUUUGAUUCAUGUCAUGGAAAUGUUGCGGCUAUGUACCAUAAACUCUGAAAGAGAGUUUUGGUAAAUGAAAACCACUUUAUAGUCUGUUUGAAAGUUUGCUGCAAUCUGUUUGGCACACAGGUAUGGCUGUGCAUGUGUGCGUGUGUUUGGAAUGAUGUUUUCAGAACUUGUAUUUUCAUUAAGAAAACAAUAUGCUGUCUUCUAAAUAAUUCCUGAUCUCCCAUAAGGAAGACACUGUUCGCCUCUUACACGUGCAGCUUUAAGGGCAGCGCCUUGCACACAAAAGUGGCUCAAGAAGAAAUUCUUUAAAAUCUGAAUGAGUGGGAGGGAUGGCCAAGGCGUCUGAGGAGGAAGACGCUGAGCUCCUGCCACGCCACACCCAAACCACAGCUCUUACAGAACAAGUAUCUAUGAGAAUGACCUCAAGACCCACAGGAAAGAUCUUCCACCCCCAAGAACAUGAAGAAGGAACUCCAACGAGGUGACUAGGAGGAGCAGAGAGACACAAUACGGGCAGGAGCAAUACCCCCUGGGGUCCGUGACCCACACAUGGGACCAACAUCCCAUUCAAAGACCUCUCCAGGGAGCAAGGGGCCCGGCCCACGCUGGGCUCCUCAGCCCAGGGGUCCUGCACCAGGAGGACGAGCCCCCAGAACAUCUCACUGGAAGCCAAUGAGACUUAGGUCCGGGAGAGCCAGGGGCUAUGGGAAACAGACACUUCAUCCCUAAGAGCAUGUACAAAAUCUCAAAUGUCUGGAGUCCCAGUGGAGAGGCAGCAGGUGGAAAGGAGCUUGGGUCAGAUGCCCGUGCUGAUCUUGAUCUUGACCCCAGAGAGACAGGAGCCGCCUGGGACUCCCCCUGGGGGACGCAGAUGCUGGCCGAGCCAUUUAAAGAGCUUAUUCUACCCUGAUAACACCGGGCUAGCAAGCGCCACUUUGGAUCCUCCUGCUUGUCUAUGAGCAUUGGGGGUGUCCCUGCCCAUGGGCUGGCCAGCGCAAGGCCCUGGGGCCACACAGACAACUGCUCAGGGAACCAGCUCCACCCACAAGGAGCUGGCAGCAACCCAUUUCCGAGCACGCAGCCAACCACACAGAAAGCCUACCUCGCUUCUCGGUUGGCCCACCAUCCCCACAUGAGAGAGGGCCUUGCAUCCAACUGGACUGGGGGCAGUCAAACCUACCCGUGCAACCACAGGAGUCGGCCUCCCCACCACAACAGAAGGGCACAAGCAGCCCACAUAGGGGCAACUCGAGAGCACACAGACCUGGAGACCAGAGGGAGUGAGCUGCUGGGUUCGCCAGGAUGACCCUACAUAGUCCAGUUCCCCGAGAUUGGGGAGUGUAACUGACCCAACACAGAGAAUGAACACAGAAAACAGAAAGAGGAGACAGGGGAGUAUCUUCCAAUAAAGAAAUAAGAUAGAAUCUCAGAAAAAGAACAAAACAUGGAGUUCCCACUGUGGUGCAGUGGUUAAGGAAUCUGACUAGGAACCAUGAGGUUGCAGGUUCGAUCCCUGGCCUUGCUCAUUGGGUUAAGGAUCCAAUGUUGCUGUGAGCUGUGGUGUAGGUCACAGACAAGGCUCAGAUCUAGUGUUGCUGUGGCUGUGCAAGGCACAGGGAUCGAACCUGCAUCCUCAUGGAUGCCAGUCAGAUUCAUUUCCACCGAGCCACAACGGGAACUCCAAGUACAUUUUUUAAAUGGAAAGGGAGACAAUA
rnacentral:lncRNA from 1 species